GGUGAGGCUCAAUGGUAGAGUGCUUGACAGGCACACAUGAGGUCCUGGGUUCAAUCUCCAGAACCACCA
rnacentral:tRNA from 1 species